rnacentral:rRNA from 1 species
AUUAGCUAGUUGGUGGGGUAACGGCCUACCAAGGCGACGAUCAGUAGCCGACCUGAGAGGGUGACCGGCCACAUUGGGACUGAGACACGGCCCAGACUCCUACGGGAGGCAGCAGUAGGGAAUUUUCGGCAAUGGGGGCAACCCUGACCGAGCAACGCCGCGUGAGUGAUGAAAGUCUUCGGAUUGUAAAGCUCUGUUGUAAGGGAAGAAUGGCUUGAGGAGAACUCAAGAGUGACGGUACCUUACCAGAAAGCCACGGCUAACUACGUGCCAGCAGCCGCGGUAAUACGUAGGUGGCGAGCGUUAUCCGGAAUUAUUGGGCGUAAAGGGUGCGUAGGCGGCCUUUUAAGUUUGUGGUGAAAGCGUGGGGCUCAACCCCAUACAGCCAUAGAUACUGGGAGGCUAGAGUACUGGAGAGGGUAGUGGAAUUCCAUGUGUAGCGGUAAAAUGCGUAGAUAUAUGGAGGAACACCGGUGGCGAAGGCGGCUACCUAGCCAGAGACUGACGCUGAGGCACGAAAGCGUGGGGAGCAAAUAGGAUUAGAUACCCUAGUAGUCCACGCCGUAAACGACGAAUACUAAGUGUUGGGGAAACUCAGUGCUGCAGUUAACGCAAUAAGUAUUCCGCCUGUGGAGUAUGCACGCAAGUGUGAAACAUAAAGGAAUUGACGGGGGCCCGCACAAGCGGUGGAGUAUGUGGUUUAAUUCGACGCAACGCGAAGAACCUUACCAGGCCUUGACAUCCCUUGCAAAGUACUAGAGAUAGUAUAGAGGUUAUCAAGGAGACAGGUGGUGCAUGGUUGUCGUCAGCUCGUGUCGUGAGAUGUUGGGUUAAGUCCCGCAACGAGCGCAACCCCUAUCUUUAGUAGCCAGCAUUUAAGGUGGGCACUCUAGAGAGACUGCCAGGGAUAACCUGGAGGAAGGUGGGGAUGACGUCAAAUCAUCAUGCCCCUUAUGAUUUGGGCUACACACGUGCUACAAUGGUGAUAACAAAGUGAAGCGAACCCGCGAGGGAGAGCGAACCACAAAAAAAUCAUCUCAGUUCGGAUUGUAGUCUGCAACUCGACUACAUGAAGCUGGAAUCGCUAGUAAUCGCGAAUCAGAAUGUCGCGGUGAAUACGUUCCCGGGUCUUGCACUCACCGCCCGUCA